rnacentral:lncRNA from 1 species
UUAUGAGUGAUUGAGUGCUAUAUGCGAGAAUUAGAGUCAAAGCACAUUCUUUCUUCAAGGUUUGAGUGUAUUUUCUUUGAAGUCGUGUGCCUUUGAGCAAUAGCUUCCACUUUACACACUGAUUGAUCACCUAUCUUGGCAACUCUAUGCUGUUGGAGGUAUGACUAAAGUUUUUUUUUUCAUUAGUUGAUUUCAAAGUUUUUUUUUUUCUAACCACUUUGUUUUGUAGAGUCGGUAAAUCGUUUGUGGGUAUUGUUUAUGUUAAACUCUCAGGAGAUAUAACUUCUCCUACUAGGGAUACCUAGAGGUUUAAAGGCUUGUUGCAUACGCUCAAUGCAAUCGAGUUACCUACGGAAGUGGUUUACUUAACUUCUUGUUUUGUUUUUAUCUUUAUUUUGUUUUGUUUUGCUCGAGGACUAGCAAAAUCUUUGUCUGAGGGUAUUUGAUCUGUUCAUAAUUGUAUAUUAUUUUGUACGCUUCUCGCUUAUGAUUUGGUUAUGUUUUUGAGUUAAACUUGUGCUUUUAAUCUCUUUUGUGUUUAUCAUUCAGUACAUUGAGCCUUAGGUAGCAAUGGUGGCUUUGGAUAGGAAAAGAUGCAAAAUGGUGCAAAAACGUGCAUACUAAGUUAGCAAUUCGUUUUGGCCUUAACAUCUUCAUCCGACCUUCGAUUGGCCCAAAUGACAUGUGGUUAGAAACAUGACAUUCUGAACUUCAAGAUGGACUGCUCAAACUCAUUAAUUGAUGAGCUAUGCAUGAGCUGUGGUUUCUGCUGGGAUUUGUUGGUGAAGUGUAGCAGCCAAAUAAGAAAAGAAACUGAUUUUCUAUGGCAUUAGUGUGUUAGGUGAUAGCCAUAUUCAAUUCAGAUUUUUCACUUCCCUCUCCCUAUAAAUACCACUUCCAUCUCCCUAUAAAUACCACUUCCAUUCCACAUUCAAGAGGCACAUCCUUUGAUUCAGAAUCCCACAAAUCACUCCAUCCAUCCUCCACACUCCCAUCAUUUUCUAAACACAUCUAGAAAUCAUCCUCAAACACUCCCACAACCCCAAACACUCUAGCAAUCAACCCAACACUCUAAACAGCCCCAAAUC